rnacentral:rRNA from 1 species
GGCACGACACCGGAGAGGGAGCCUGAGAAACGGCUACCACAUCCAAGGAUGGCAGCAGGCGCGCAAAUUACCCAAUCCCGACACGGGGAGGUAGUGACAAUAAAUAACAAUACGGGGUUCUUUAGGAUCUCGUAAUUGGAAUGAGUACAAUUUAAAUCUCUUAACGAGGAACAAUUGGAGGGCAAGUCUGGUGCCAGCAGCCGCGGUAAUUCCAGCUCCAAUAGCGUAUAUUAAAGUUGUUGCAGUUAAAAAGCUCGUAGUUGAAUUUCGGGGUUAGUAGGUUGGUCAUGCCUCUGGUAUGUACUGGUCUCACUGAUUCCUCCUUCCUGAUGAACCUUAAUGCCAUUAAUUUGGUGUUUUGGGGAAUUUGGACUGUUACUUUGAAAAAAUUAGAGUGUUUAAAGCAAGCUAACGCUUGAAUACAUUAGCAUGGAAUAAUGAAAUAGGACGUUCGAUCCUAUUUUGUUGGUUUCUAGGAUUGACGUAAUGAUUAAUAGGGAUAGUUGGGGGCAUUAGUAUUCAAUUGUCAGAGGUGAAAUUCUUGGAUUUAUUGAAGACUAACUACUGCGAAAGCAUUUGCCAAGGAUGUUUUCAUUAAUCAAGAACGAAAGUUAGGGGAUCGAAGACGAUCAGAUACCGGUCGUAGUCUUAACCAUAAACUAUGCCCACUAGGGAUCGGAUGAAUGUUAAUUUUUUUAAUGACUCAUUCGGCGCCUUACGGGAAC